rnacentral:lncRNA from 1 species
GACGAAGAUAGGUAGUAAACAUGAAAAAAGUGGAAGAAGGUGAUUGCACAUAGUGACAAGUGCUACAAAGAAAAAAUACUGUAGGGUAGGAAGUAAUAGAUUUGAGGGAGUAUGGAGGUGCUUUUUGGUACUCUGCUCCAAGGAGGUGGUGUCUGAGCUGAGACCUGAAUGAUGAGAACUAAUAGGUGUACAGAUAUUUGGGGUAAAAGUAUUCGAGGCAGAAUAUACAGCAAGUACAGAGACCUGAGGUAGGAGUGCAUUUGGCCCAUUUCAAGGACAGAAAGUGCUUCAACAUAGCUGAAGCAGAGUCAUGGGAGGUCAGAGAGCCAGGCAAAGUCUGGAUUGUAAAGCACCUUGUGGGCUCAGGAAGAGUUUGGAUUUAACCUCAGUACGGUAGAAACCAUUGGAGGGACUUGAAGCAGAAGAGGAUCAUGAUUGAGUUCCAAGUUUCAAGAAGCUUGUUUUGGCUGCUGUCUGGGGAGAGGGCUGUAGGGGCUCUGGCGAUGUCAAGGAAUAGUCACGGGGUCUGGGGAGAGACCACUGUGGCCAAAUGGAGAUGGAGAGCAGCAGUCAGAUUCGGGGUAUGAUUUGGUAGCAGGACUUGCUCAUGAGUUGGAUGAGGGAAAGAGAAGAAUCAAGGAUGUCUUCUAAGAUCUUGAUCUGCCUCCAGUUUCUAGUCUUUUUAAAUCUUAUUUCUCAGAGAAAGUCAGGUAGAAUGUUGCUCCUAAACAAGUAGAUAGAGACUAUGAAGCAAGUGGGGGAAAAAACAAACUAAAGAAAGAUAUUUGCAAAUUUAAUGGAUAGAGGCUUGGUUUCUAGAUUAUAUAAAGAAUUUCUAUAAAUCAGUAAUAUAUGAACAGACAAUUCUGUUCAGAUACUGAAAAUAUACUCGGGACACUGAAAUUAAGACUCAGGUAUUGAAGUUGCUGUCGUGGCUCAGUGAUUAAUGAAUCCGACUAGGAACCAUGAGGUUCUGGGUUCAAUCCCUGGCCUCGCUCAAUGGGUUAAGGAUCCGGUGUUGCCCUGAGCUGUAGUGUAGGUCACAGACACAGCUCAGAUCCCGUGUUGCUGUGGCUCUGGCGUAGGCCAUUGGUUACAGCUCCGAUUAGACCCCUAACCUGGGAACCUCCAUAUGCCACUAGUGUGGCCCUAGAAAUGACCACACACACAAAAAAAAUUACAUUUGCACCUAUUAAUUUGGUACCAGAUACUUAUUAUUGGUCACUAUGCAGAGCAAUAGGUGUCCUUAUCUUGCUGUUUAAAGUGUGAAUUUGUACCUCAGUUUUCAAAUUUGAUGCUAUUUUAUAAAAAGUCAAAACUCUUGCCCGUUAGGCUAGAAGAAAUGUUCAAAGACUUUCGUAGCAACAAAAAAAUGGAAAAAAUUCAAAUAUACAUUUAAGGAUAAUAAAUUUUUUUUUUUAAUCUUUUUGCCUUUUCUAGGGCUGCUCUCUUGGCAUAUGGAGGUUCCCAGGCUAGGAGUCUAAUCGGAGCUGUAGCCACCGGCCUAUGCCAGAGCCACAGCAACGCCAGAUCCUUAACCCAUUGAGCGAGGCCAAGGAUCGAACCCGCCACCUCAUGGUUCUUAGUCAGAUUCCUUAACCACUGAGCCACGAAGGGAACUCCAUAAACUAUUUUUAUAUGAUGAAAUAUACAGCCAUAAAAAAUAGUGAAUUAGUGGAGCAACAACAGGGAUGAACCUUAGCAACAUACUGGACUAAUUUUUUUAAAGGCUCAAUAGUAAGCAAAACUAAAUAUUAUUUAGGCCGCACAGACCACAAACAUGUGAUAAAACUUAUUUUUAAAAAAUAAACACUUUAGAGAAUGAGAAGCAGAAUUGAGGAUAGAAGUUAUUGGGGUCUAGAGAAAGGGAUAGGAAGAGACAGUGAAGGGACAUCAAGAUAAUGCAGUGAUUGUAUCUGUUUAUGUUUUAUUAGGCUCCAUACCUUAAUGCAGGUUACAUAGUCUUUCAUGUGUAAAUAUAAAUUAUGUGGCGAACUCAAUGAAGUUAUAAACUAGAUAAACUGUUAAUAAUUUCCAAAUUUUAUUAUUAUUUUUUUUUCUUUUUUGGCCACUCUGCAGCAUAUGGAGUUCCUCAGCCAGGGAUCAGAUCCGGGCCACAGUUGCAACCUAAGCCACAGCUGUGGCAAUGUGGCAUCCUUAACCCCACUGUGCCAGGCCAGGGAUCAAACCUGCAUCCCAGCACUCCCAAGACACCACUGAUCCCGUUGCACCACAGUGGGAACUCCACUAAUUUCUAAAUUUUAUAAUAUCAUAAUACUAUGUUUAAAAUCCAGCCCAGGGAUUGCAAGGUCUGGACCCCUCUAGUACAACACAUUUCCUAAGGGUCUUGAAAUGUGGCUUGACCCAGUAUGUUGAAGUUUAGAUUUCCUCAGAGGCUCUGGAAGAGAGUAAGAAUGUAAGUAUGUAAGUAAACAUUUUUUUCCCAGGUUUUUGGUAACUAAACCCAGAUAAUCCAAUUUAUGGCCUUUAUCUUUGCUGGCUUUUCAAGAAAGAAUUAAUUCAGAAACUCUUUCCCGUCGUGGCACAGUGGUUAACGAAUCCAACUAGGAACCAUGAGGUUGCGGGUUCGGUCCCUGGCCUUGCUCAGUGGGUUAACGAUCCGGCGUUGCCGUGAGCCGUGGUGUAGGUCGCAGACACGGCUCGGAUCCCGCGUUGCUGUGGCUCUGGCGUAGGCCGGCGGCUACAGCUCCGAUUCGACCCCUAGCCUGGGAACCUCCAUAUGCCGUGGGAGCGGCCCAAAGAAAUAGCAG